CUUCGGGGACAUUGGUGACAGGUGGUGCAUGGUUGUCGUCAGCUCGUGUCGUGAGAUGUUGGGUUAAGUCCCGCAACGAGCGCAACCCUUGUCUUUAGUUGCCAUCAUUAAGUUGGGCACUCUAGAGAGACUGCCAGGGAUAACCUGGAGGAAGGUGGGGAUGACGUCAAAUCAUCAUGCCCCUUAUGCUUAGGGCUACACACGUGCUACAAUGGGUAGUACAGAGGGUUGCCAAGCCGUAAGGUGGAGCUAAUCCCUUAAAGCUACUCUCAGUUCGGAUUGUAGGCUGAAACUCGCCUACAUGAAGCUGGAGUUACUAGUAAUCGCAGAUCAGAAUGCUGCGGUGAAUGCGUUCCCGGGUCUUGUACACACCGCCCGUCACACCACGGGAGUUGGAGACGCCCGAAGCCGAUUAUCUAACCUUUUGGAAGAAGUCGUCGAAGGUGGAAUCAAUAACUGGGGUGAAGUCGUAACAAGGUAGCCGUAUCGGAAGGUGCGGCUGGAUCACCUCCUUUCUAAGGAGA
rnacentral:rRNA from 1 species